rnacentral:rRNA from 1 species
GUGAAUGCCUAUAACAUAGCGUUAAUGCACUGUAUCCCAUUAGAACUCCGCAGUUAAGCACACUUAGGCUAUAGUAGUAUUGAGAUGGGUAAUCGCCCGAGAAGUCCUAGUGUUUUACAUG